GACGAACGCUGGCGGCGUGCUUAACACAUGCAAGUCGAACGGAAAGGCCCUGCUUUUGUGGGGUGCUCGAGUGGCGAACGGGUGAGUAACACGUGAGUAACCUGCCCUUGACUUUGGGAUAACUUCAGGAAACUGGGGCUAAUACCGGAUAGGAGCUCCUGCUGCAUGGUGGGGGUUGGAAAGUUUCGGCGGUUGGGGAUGGACUCGCGGCUUAUCAGCUUGUUGGUGGGGUAGUGGCUUACCAAGGCUUUGACGGGUAGCCGGCCUGAGAGGGUGACCGGCCACAUUGGGACUGAGAUACGGCCCAGACUCCUACGGGAGGAAGCAGUGGGGAAUAUUGCACGAUGGGCGGAAGCCGUAUGCAGCAACGCCGCGUGCGGGAUGACGGCCUUCGGGUUGUAAACCGCUUUCGCCGGUGACGAAGCGUGAGUGACGGUAAUGGGUAAAGAAGCACCGGCUAACUACGUG
rnacentral:rRNA from 1 species